rnacentral:misc_RNA from 1 species
UAGCGCGCUGUACAUACCCAAACCAAACUGUACAGUAGGCAGGAAAGCGGCAAGCCCUUAUACUACCUACACGCGAUCCAUUCAGGCCUGGGAUGGGAGUCUCACACUCACGAUCUUGGUAGGCCUCGCCUGGGAGGUGGACGACGACGUGCCAUGGUCAGGACGAUGUCCUCCUACUCGCCCAUGGGAAACCAACCAGGAGUACCAUUCCGUCGGCGAUGCUGCUGCUGCCGCCGCCUCACCCCGGGGCGGCGCGGGGCGACCGGACGGGCCAGAGCGGCAGCCUCCAGACCGACGACGGUCGCUUCCGCCGCGGCGGCUUCGGCAGCGCGCCGGCCGCGGCCUCCUUCUCCGAGCUCAGCAUGUUCCACAUCACCUGCACGUCCUGGUACCCGCAGGUCUGCACGUCCCGGUGGAGGCUCAGGACGCCACCACACUCUGCAUUGCUCCAAUUUGUUUGGGAAAAGAUUAGGGUGGGGGAAAAGGAUUAAGAGAUUACUUAUUUUUUACUGCUCAAAUCAAAACUUCAGUAAAAAAAUCAAAACUUGAGGUUAAAAAAAAAGAGAUUAUUCCGGUGAGGGGAGAUGAAAGAUCGGACGAUGAGCCACAAGAAUCGCGAAGGGGAUUGGGUGGUCCACGGUCUAGUUGGCUGCGUACACUGACUCCACUCCAGACGGGCGGUUGGGACUUGGGAGCGAGAUAGAUAGCAAGC